CGAAUGUGACUUGAAACAAGAACUGAAUUAAUUAAUACUUACAUGAAUCAACUCUAUUGGAGGCUAAGCGUUUUGAGCUUAGUAGGGUGGUGGUGGAGAUGCAUAAUUGUAAACUGGUGGUGGAGGUGACUUCACAGGUGGGGGAGGAGAGUGGUAGUAGUAUGGAGGUGGUGGGGAUGGUGAUGGAGGUGGUGGGGAUUUGUAGUAGUACGGUGGUGGAGGCGAGUAGACUGGUGGGGGAGGAGAGUGGUAAUAGUACGGAGGUUGAGGAGAUGGUGACGGAGGUGGUGGGGACUUGUAAUAGUAUGGUGGUGGAGGUGAGUGGACAGGUGGGGGAGGAGAGUGGUAAUAAUAUGGCGGUGGAGGAGAUGGCGACGGAGGUGGUGGGGAUUUGUAGUAGUAGGGCGGGGGAGGAGAGUGGACUGGUGGUGGUGGGGAUUUGUAGUAGUAUGGAGGUGGAGGUGGAGGUGAGUAGACUGGUGGUGGUGGGGAUUUGUAGUAGUAUGGAGGUGGAGGUGAGUGGACUGGUGGUGGCGGGGAUUUGUAGUAGUAGGGUGGAGGAGGAGAGUGGACUGGAGGUGGCGGGGAUUUGUAGUAGUAUGGUGGUGGAGGCGAGUAGACUGGAGGGGGUGGUGACUUGUAGUAGUAAGGUGGCGGAGGUGAGUAAACGGGAGGAGGGGGUGACUUGUAGUAGUAAGGUGGUGGAGGUGAGUAGACUGGUGGUGGAGGUGAUUUGUAAUAGUAUGGGGCAGGUAUGUGGACUGGCGGUGGUGGUGACUUGUAAUAGUAGGGAGGUGGAGGGGAUGGUGAAGGUGGUGGUGGAGACUUGUAGUAGUAUGGCGGUGGGGGUGAAUAGACUGGUGGUGGAGGUGAUUUAUAAUAGUAUGGAGGUGGAGGAGAUGGCGAUGGAGGUGGCGGAGAUUUAUAGUAGUAAGGUGGUGGAGGAGAGUGGACUGGUGGUGGAGGUGAUUUGUAAUAGUAUGGCGGUGGAGGAGAGUAGACUGGUGGUGGAGGUGAUUUAUAGUAGUAUGGCGGUGGUGGUGAGUGGACAGGUGGUGGAGGUGACUUGUAGUAAUACGGUGGAGGAGAAGAAUAGACCGGUGGUGGUGGAGAUUUAUAAUAGUAAGGUGGUGUCGGAUACUUUAUUGGAGGUGGAGGGGAUUUGUAAUAAUAGGGUGGUGGUGGUGAGGGUGAAGGAGGUGGUGGAGAUUUAUAGUAAUAUGGUGGUGGAGGUGAGUGGACUGGAGGUGGUGGAGAUUUGUAGUAGUAUGGUGGAGGUGAGUAGACAGGUGGGGGAGGAGACUUGUAAUAAUAUGGUGGUGGAGGUGAGUAGACCGGUGGUGGUGGGGAUUUAUAGUAGUAUGGUGGUGGUGAAUAAACCGGUGGUGGAGGAGACUUGUAGUAGUACGGUGGGGGAUGUGAAUAGACUGGUGGAGGUGGAGACUUAUAAUAGUAUGGGGGAGGAGAGUAAGUUGGUGGCGGUGGAGACUUAUAGUAAUAUGGUGAUGGAGAUGGUGGUGGCGGAGACUUAUAGUAAUAAGGCGACGGUGGGUAUUUUACAGGAGGUGGGGGAGAUUUAUAAUAAUAAGGUGGUGGGUAUUUCACAGGAGGUGGUGGAGACUUGUAAUAAUAUGGUGGAGGUGGAGGAGACUUAUAAAUGUAAGUUGGUGGUGGUGGAGGCGGUGACUUGUAGUAAUAAGGAGCGGGGGUAGGCUCAGGCUUGGGCUUCUCACAUUCCUCAUAAGGAGUCUUAGGAGCAUAAGCAAAUGGCUUGGCGUAGAGCACAACUUCAUAAUCAGUCUUCGACUUGACUUUAAGUUUGGCUCCCUUUUUACCCCAGUGCAAGUCAGUGGGAAU
rnacentral:lncRNA from 1 species